rnacentral:rRNA from 1 species
GACGAACGCCGGCGGCGUGCCUAACACAUGCAAGUCGAACGGAGUGUUUAUUUAUAAACACUUAGUGGCGAACGGGUGAGUAACGCGUAGACAACCUACCCUCUAGAUGGGGACAACACCGCGAAAGUGGUGCUAAUACCGAAUGUUGUAAUGUUAUUGCAUAAUGAUAUUACUAAAGGUGGCCUCUAUAUAUAAGCUACCGCUAGAGGAUGGGUCUGCGUCUGAUUAGCUAGUUGGUGAGAUAACAGCUCACCAAGGCAAUGAUCAGUAGCCGGUCUGAGAGGAUGAACGGCCACGCUGGGACUGAGACACGGCCCAGACUCCUACGGGAGGCAGCAGCGGGGAAUCUUCCGCAAUGGACGAAAGUCUGACGGAGCAACGCCGCGUGAGUGAAGAAGGUUUUCGGAUCGUAAAGCUCUGUCUUCAAGGACGAAUGUAGAUAUUGUGAAUAAUGAUAUUUAAUGACGGUACUUGAGGAGGAAGCCACGGCUAACUACGUGCCAGCAGCCGCAGUAAGAC